GAGUUUGAUCCUGGCUCAGGAUGAACGCUGGCGGCGUGCUUAACACAUGCAAGUCGAACGGGCUCAUAUUGAAACCUAGUGAUGUAUGAGUUAGUGGCGGACGGGUGAGUAACGCGUGGAGAACCUGCCGUAUACUGGGGGAUAACACUUAGAAAUAGGUGCUAAUACCGCAUAAGCGCACAGCUUCGCAUGAAGCAGUGUGAAAAGCUCCGGUGGUAUACGAUGGAUCCGCGUCUGAUUAGUUUGUUGGCGGGGUAACGGCCCACCAAGACGACGAUCAGUAGCCGGACUGAGAGGUUGGCCGGCCACAUUGGGACUGAGACACGGCCCAGACUCCUACGGGAGGCAGCAGUGGGGAAUAUUGGGCAAUGGGCGCAAGCCUGACCCAGCAACGCCGCGUGAAGGAAGAAGGCCCUCGGGUUGUAAACUUCUUUUAUCAGGGACGAAGAAGUGACGGUACCUGAUGAAUAAGCCACGGCUAACUACGUGCCAGCAGCCGCGGUAAUACGUAGGUGGCAAGCGUUA
rnacentral:rRNA from 1 species